GGGAGAUACCAUGAUCAUGAAGG
rnacentral:piRNA from 1 species